rnacentral:lncRNA from 1 species
GUGCUCUCUGUNUGUAUAUCCAAAAUUAAGCUUUAAAAAUUUAAGACUGUUGCUAUUCAAUGUUAUUUCAAUAAGCCAGACCAACGUUCCAAUUCAACAUUUUUUUCCUAAAUCUUACACACUGAGGGGAACAGAUACCAUAUCAUAAUUUACUAUCCUUGCCCAAGUUAAUGCACUGGUACACCUAGUGAAAUCUUCUCAGGCUACCCAGUUCAAAAUAAAACUAAAUGAUUGGGAGUUACUUGCCAACUUGGAAGUAGAAUUCUUUUAAUUUUCUAUCCUAAGUAUUUAAGUUCUCUGGCAUGAAUUAUCUGAAAUCACAAACUAAACAAUUACCUAACCCCAACUUUUAACUGCAAGAUUAUGCAAUGCUUCAAACUCAUUUAGAUACCAGAUUGUUACAAUAAAAAAAUCUUUUAGAUACACAUUCAGCCAAGAUCAUCCCCAAGAAACAAUCUAUAAUAACCUUUAAAAUAGAGAGACCAGAUAAGAGAAAAAUCUCUCCAGGUUUUUAACUUCCAUUUAAUUAUGACUCCUAUCAGUGGCACCAUAGAUUUCCCAUGAGUGGAC